rnacentral:pre_miRNA from 1 species
UUGGUACUCCCUCCGUUCGGAAUUACUUGUCUCGAAAAUAGAUGUAUCUAGAACUAAAAUACAUCUAGAUACAUCCAUUUCUAUGAUAAGUAAUUCCGAACAGAGGGAGUAGUAU